rfam:Cavia porcellus supercont2_11 genomic scaffold, whole genome shotgun sequence.
GGGGAUUUAGCUCAGUGGCAUAAGCACCUGCCUUGCAAGCAGGCAGUCAUGAUUUCAAUCCCUG